rnacentral:rRNA from 1 species
AAUGAACGCUAGCGGCAGGCCUAACACAUGCAAGUCGAGGGGCAGCACAGAAACAGCAAUGUUUUGGUGGCGACCGGCGGACGGGUGCGUAACGCGUAUGCAACCUGCCUUUAACAGGGGGAUAACGGAGAGAAAUUUCCACUAAUACCCCAUAACAUCGAUCAAGGCAUCUUGAUUGGUUGAAAACUCCGGUGGUUAAAGAUGGGCAUGCGUUGUAUUAGGUAGUUGGUGAGGUAAUGGCUCACCAAGCCUACGAUACAUAGGGGGACUGAGAGGUUAGCCCCCCACACUGGUACUGAGACACGGACCAGACUCCUACGGGAGGCAGCAGUGAGGAAUAUUGGUCAAUGGGGGCAACCCUGAACCAGCCAUGCCGCGUGCAGGAAGACGGCUCUAUGAGUUGUAAACUGCUUUUAAACAGGGAUAAAGCACAGUAUGUAUACUGUGUUGAAGGUACUGUAAGAAUAAGGAUCGGCUAACUCCGUGCCAGCCGCCGCGGUAA